UUAGCUCCAGACGAGUUAGCUUUAGGGUUAGUGUUAGCUCCAGGUGAGUUAGCUCUAGUGUUAUCUCCAGAUGAGUUAGCUCUAGUGUUAGCUCCAGAUGAGUAAGCUCUAGUGUUAGCUCCAGAUGAGUUAGCGCUAGCGUUAAUGUGAAUUUUUUACGCAUUUAAUUUGCGUAAAUAAUCACAAAAUCAUGCAAGAAACGCGACACAGAAAAUCUGUUUGCGUUGAUUUAAUUCCGUCCUGCGAAGUUUCCUCGACCAUAAAGGAGUUAGUUUCCUGUCCCUGAACGUCUCACAGGGUUUUAUCAGCGGACACAAACUGUUUUUCUUUGUUUCUUUUGUAUUUUUUGUGAUUUUUAUGUUUAGUUUUAUUUAAACGUGGCAGUGAGACGCAGAGCAGACACCCGUCCGUGUCCCUCUUGAAGACAUCUCUUCUUGUCUCUGGUCCACAUUCAGACAAAAGACCACUGUUUGAGUGCCUUUAUCCAGGUGUGAAGUCGUGUUUUUCCUCUCAUUACUGAAGCUCAGUCAUUCCACCACUUUAAUCCACACUUUUAAAGAACGAGAAAAUCACCGCCGUCGUUCUCUCUGUGUCCUCUCUCACCAUAAUGGAUGUGUAUAUAUCUGUGAUUAUUUAUGAAUACAGUAUAUAGAUAUAUAUAAAUAUAAUGUACAGCAUGAUUUUUAUUUCAUCGUAUUUGAAAAAAAUGUCCUUUUGCACUUUCCAGGUACUAAAUAGUUUUAACUGGGCUCAUUAAUCUGUACAAAAGCUUUGUAUACACAUGUGGAAAUGAUCAUUAAAGUCUGUUCUGAACUCAU